UGGAGAACUGCCAUUUUCUUAAGGUGGGGUCAACAGAGUUGCCUAGAGCACUUGUAGCAUUUCCUCUGCCUAUAAUAAUGGGGACUCUGCUGGUUAAUGUUGCAUAUAUUUUUAUUUAAAUUUGUUUCUUUGCUUUGAAACUCCUUUUCAUUUAUUUAAAUCGCUAAAAGCAAUCUUGCUUGAGGAGUUGAGUUUCUUUAUCUAUUAAUGUACAAACUGUGAUAUUCUAUUCAGGACUUGGAAGAUGCUCAGAAG
rnacentral:misc_RNA from 1 species